GAUGAACGCUGGCGGCGUGCUUAACACAUGCAAGUCGAACGAAGCACUUAAGUGAAUUUCUUCGGAAUGAAGCUUUUGUGACUGAGUGGCGGACGGGUGAGUAACGCGUGGGUAACCUGCCUCAUACAGGGGGAUAACAGUUGGAAACGACUGCUAAUACCGCAUAACACUUUGGGGUCGCAUGAUUCUGAAGUCAAAGAUUUAUUGCUGAAAGAUGGCCUCGCGUCUGAUUAGCUAGUUGGCGGGGUAACGGCCCACCAAGGCGACGAUCAGUAGCCGGUCUGAGAGGAUGAACGGCCACAUUGGGACUGAGAUACGGCCCAG
rnacentral:rRNA from 1 species